rnacentral:rRNA from 1 species
AGAGUUUGAUCAUGGCUCAGGAUGAACGCUGGCGGCAUGCCUAAUACAUGCAAGUCGAACGAAGUAUUUGUACUUGUACAAAUACUUAGUGGCGAACGGGUGAGUAAUACGUAAGCAACCUGCCUCAAACAUGGGGAUAACUACUGGAAACGGUAGCUAAUACCCGAUAGGUCAUAAAGUGGCAUCACUUAAUGAUUAAAGAUCCUUUCAAGGAUCAGUUUGAGAUGGGCUUAUGGCGCAUUAGCUAGUUGGUGAGGUAACGGCUCACCAAGGCGAUGAUGCGUAGCCGACCUGAGAGGGUGAUCGGCCACAUUGGGACUGAGACACGGCCCAAACUCCUACGGGAGGCAGCAGUAGGGAAUUUUCGGCAAUGGGGGAAACCCUGACCGAGCAAUGCCGCGUGAGUGAUGAAGGCCUUCGGGUUGUAAAGCUCUGUUGUAAGGGAAGAACAAGUCAUACAGGAAAUGGUAUGACCCUGACGGUACCUUACCAGAAAGCCACGGCUAACUACGUGCCAGCAGCCGCGGUAAGACGUAGGUGGCAAGCGUUAUCCGGAAUUAUUGGGCGUAAAGAGUGCGCAGGCGGUUUAUUAAGUCUAAGGUCAAAGACUGAAGCUCAACUUCAGUUCGCCCUAGAAACUGGUAGACUAGAGUGCAGAAGAGGGAAGUGGAAUUCCAUGUGUAGCGGUAAUAUGCGUAGAUAUAUGGAGGAACACCAGUGGCGAAGGCGGCUUCCUGGUCUGUAACUGACGCUCAUGCACGAAAGCGUGGGGAGCAAAUAGGAUUAGAUACCCUAGUAGUCC